CCUAGUAACUGCGAGUGAAGCGGGAAAAGCUCAAAUUUAAAAUCUGGUGGUCCUUGUGGCCGUCCGAGUUGUAAUCUAGAGAAGCGCUAUCCGCGCCGGACCGUGUACAAGUCUCCUGGAACGGAGCGUCAUAGAGGGUGAGAAUCCCGUCUUUGACACGGACUACCGGGGCUUUGUGAUGCGCUCUCAAAGAGUCGAGUUGUUUGGGAAUGCAGCUCUAAAUGGGUGGUAAAUUCCAUCUAAAGCUAAAUAUUGGCGAGAGACCGAUAGCGAACAAGUACCGUGAGGGAAAGAUGAAAAGAACUUUGGAAAGAGAGUUAAACAGUACGUGAAAUUGUUGAAAGGGAAACGCUUGAAGUCAGUCGCGUUGGCCGGGGAUCAACCUUGCUCUUUUGCUUGGUGUACUUUCCGGUCGAUGGGUCAGCAUCAAUUUUGAUUGAUGGAUAAAGGCCAGGGGAAUGUGGCAUCUUCGGAUGUGUUAUAGCCCUUGGUCGCAUGCAUCGGUUGGGAUUGAGGAACUCAGCACGCCGCAAGGCCGGGUUUUAAACCACGUACGUGCUUAGGAUGCUGGCAUAAUGGCUUUAAUCGAC
rnacentral:rRNA from 1 species